rnacentral:rRNA from 1 species
CCUACGGGGGGCAGCAGUGGGGAAUAUUGCACAAUGGGCGCAAGCCUGAUGCAGCGACGCCGCGUGAGGGAUGACGGCCUUCGGGUUGUAAACCUCUGUUAGCAUCGAAGAAGCGAAAGUGACGGUAGGUGCAGAGAAAGCGCCGGCUAACUACGUGCCAGCAGCCGCGGUAAUACGUGGGGCGCGAGCGUUGUCCGGAAUUAGUGGGCGUAAAGAGCUUGUAGGCGGUUGGUCGCGUCCUCUGUGAAAGGCUGGGGCUUAACCCUGGUUUUGCAGGGGGUACGGGCUAACUAGAGUGCAGUAGGGCAGACUGGAAUUCCUGGUGUAGCGGUGGAAUGCCCAGAUAUCAGGAGGAACACCGAUGGCGAAGGCAGGUCUCUGGGCUGUAACUGACGCUGAGAAGCGAAAGCAUGGGGAGCGAACAGGAUUAGAUACGUGAGUAAUC